UUGGGUGAAUUCCAAAUUGGAUGUCCAAAGUAGAUCAAAGAAAAUGAAAGUCCUCUCUCUCUCUCUCUCGUCACAGACCAACCAUCGCUUCUUUUGCAGCUCCUUCUCCUCCACAUCUUCCUUCUCCGCCUCCUCCCAUCCUUCCUCCUCUGCCUCCACCUGUACUUCCAUCGUUGACACCUCGUCUCUUCUCUUACUCAUCUUCCUCCUCUGCUUCUUCCCACCAUUGAACAUCUACUCUCAUUUACGCAUGCUAAGAGCGAAAUUAUAGGGUUGCUUUCUGUAAAUUGGCUCAAAUCUAGUGAAUCCAAUAGCUGUAGCUAAAGAUGACCGCCGGAGAUGGCCUUCUCAGCACGACAUGUUGUGGGCAUCCCUUGUACAUGGAUUCUCCAUUAUUGGCCUUAUUGAUUUGAGGAACGUGGUGGCCUCGAUCUCCUGCGACAAAGCUGUUUGGGACGCCAUCUUGAACAACAGGGCAGUUCAGGAUCUCCGGGGCUCAAUCUCUGCAGAAAUCUAGUUCCAUUUCAUAUAUCAACUGCGACAAUAAAAGGUAAAAGUAAACAAGAGGAGGCAGCCAUGAGUUUUACCAGGAUAAAAGCCUUGAUGUUCUCUCUUGUCAAUCUUAUGUCUGAGCUUUCAUCUUCAGAUAUAUCGAGCAAUAUAUCAAGUAGAUCCUUCAUUUGUUGACUUGCAUCAUUGUUAUGCUGACGCUUCGUCCUUGUCUCUUGAUGUUCCUCUAUGAUCUUCUCAAUCAUUACAUCAAACCUCUCAGCAAUAUACCUAUGUUGUAUCUGCUGCUUCAUUGAAGUACUUUCUCUUGACCUCUGAUCUGCAGAGUUAUGCCUGAACAUAUACAAUUCGUAGCUAUCAACUCUCCUUACGGCUCAAUGCGCAGCUACCUAAGUGAAGAAUUGAUAUGAACAAACAAAGGGGUAUUUGGAGAUAUGUGUUUUGGCUGGAAUUUUUUUUGUUUUUAAGUUUCUAUUUAUUUACUGAAGAACAUAAAACAGAGACAGAAACAAGACGAGGCGGUUGGAGUAGGGGUGGAAACGGGAGAAGCAGAAAUUGGUUUAUACAGUUGGCCUCUUGAGUUAGGAUUUAUUUGUAACUGAUAGUUUUUAGCUUUUUGGUUUAUGCAGUUGAAGCAUUUGAUCAAGUGUUUUUGUUACAUAUGUAGGGUUUAUUUGUAACUGAUUGUUUUCUUACCUUUUUUUCAUGAAAUAUUGCUUCUUGAUUUUGUAGUUAUUGUCACAUGAGUGAAAAAUUGCUUCAACUUUUCCUCUCUCAUAUUUUUAUCAUGCCAUUGGUACUUAAUAGAGGAGUUUGAGUUUUAGUUGUGCA